ensembl:Mt_tRNA
CAUAACGUAGCUUAAAUACAAUAAAGCAUCUGGUCUACACCCAGAAGAUUCCUAACUCACCGGACAUUAUGA